AUGAACUCUACUAAAGAAAAUACAUUCCUCAGCAAUUUUCACCCUGCAAGGAAAAGGGUCUCAGAUAAUCCCUUUUUAAAUUCAUACCUGAAAAGAAAUAAUGUCAGUGAUGACGAGAAAUUCCAAGCCUACAAAAGGGUUGAAGAUGAUGUCGGUGUGCCAAACAAAAAAAGGAGGCUCCUUUAUGAAACCCCUGGUUUACCUCCCAGCACUUCUGGUUUGGUAAGAAAAGUAGAUGUUCGAAGAACAUACUUACAGAAGCCACUGAUAUCAGAAACAACACAGCCUCAAACAGCAGACGUGAUCUCACAAACUUCAGAAGACAAAAACUCCUCCCUUGCCUGGAUGGAUUCCCAAGAUGAACAGGGAAGAAAGGAGGAAGAAAAUCUAUUUGGCUCUUUAAAAAAAAUGAUUAAUGAAAACCAAGAGCUAAGGAAAGAAAAUGCAAAAAUGAAGCAAAUACUUGUAGCACUCCAGAAUUCUGAAACGCCCAACUUUCGAGAUGAUUUUUUGACCUCAGGCCUAGUUACUCAAUCAUCAUCAUCCUCACCAUCACCACCCUCAACCUCAUCCUCCUCGGAGAGUGCCCAGAGGGUAUGACUGCACAGUUGCUUCCUGAGACUCCAACCAUUGGCCACCAAGCUGCUCCACUUUGCUCCAGCUGAUAACAUCAUGUCUGGUUUGGACCGGGCAAGGCUCAAGCAUGCCAGGUUCUGGUACUUCUCCAACCUCACUUCCUGGUACAGCUCCUCCUGGGCAAGGCCCAACUGCCCCCACUCCUCUCAUGUGAAGUCCACAGUAGCAUCCCUGAAGGUCACUGAUUCCUAAAAAACCAAAAAGGCUCACUUCAGUGGUCAUCCUUCCCAUGAAGCAGAGAAGUAAAGGUGGCCAGACAGAUUAGGAGGUCUGCUUAUAGCACCUGUCCCUUAAGAGCUCAGACACAUGUCCAAGUGCCUCAUUUGGGUGUGAGAUUCCAGCCCAGUAGCUUCUCCCCGUAGUGCAUCUUUCUCAUUCCACUUUUACUCUAUAAGAAAAUUUCAUUCUUUAAACAAUGCUGAAUGAAGAAUUAGGAGAGCUGCU
rnacentral:lncRNA from 1 species